rnacentral:rRNA from 1 species
UACGUAGGGGGCAAGCGUUGUCCGGAAUCAUUGGGCGUAAAGAGCGUGUAGGCGGUCCGGUAAGUCGGUUGUGAAAGUCCAGGGCUCAACCCUGGGAUGCCGACCGAUACUGUCGGACUAGAGUUCGGAAGAGGCGAGUGGAAUUCCCCGGUGUAGCGGUGAAAUACGCAGAUAUCGGGAGGAACACCUAUGGCGAAGGCAGCUCGCUGGGACGUUACUGACGCUGAGACGCGAAAGCGUGGGGGAGCAAACAGG